UACGGAGGGGGCUAGCGUUGUUCGGAAUUACUGGGCGUAAAGCGCACGUAGGCGGCUUUGUAAGUUAGAGGUGAAAGCCCGGGGCUCAACUCCGGAAUUGCCUUUAAGACUGCAUCGCUAGAAUUGUGGAGAGGUAAGUGGAAUUCCGAGUGUAGAGGUGAAAUGCGUAGAGAUGCGGAGGAACACCGAUGGCGAAGGCAGCCCCCUGGGCUAGCACUGACGCUCAGGCACGAAAGCGUGGGGAGCAAACAGG
rnacentral:rRNA from 1 species